AGGAAAAAUGUCAUGAUCACAGAAGUUGUUUCUCCGGGGUGAGCCUUAUCCAUUGCACUUGGCUGUGCUGACCCCUGCAAUUUCCCCAACUUAUGGUGGCAUAAGUUGUU
rnacentral:snRNA from 1 species